rnacentral:rRNA from 1 species
AUUGAACGCUGGCGGCAGGCUUAACACAUGCAAGUCGAGCGGAGAUGAGGUGCUUGCACCUUAUCUUAGCGGCGGACGGGUGAGUAAUGCUUAGGAAUCUGCCUAUUAGUGGGGGACAACAUUCCGAAAGGAAUGCUAAUACCGCAUACGUCCUACGGGAGAAAGCAGGGGAUCUUCGGACCUUGCGCUAAUAGAUGAGCCUAAGUCGGGUUAGCUAGUUGGUGGGGUAAAGGCCUACCAAGGCGACGAUCUGUAGCGGGUCUGAGAGGAUGAUCCGCCACACUGGGACUGAGACACGACCCAGACUCCUACGGGAGUCAGCAGUGGGGAAUAUUGGACAAUGGGGGGAACCCUGAUCCAGCCAUGCCGCGUGUGUGAAGAAGGCCUUAUGGUUGUAAAGCACUUUAAGCGAGGAGGAGGUUACUGAGACUAAUACUCUUGGAUAGUGGACGUUACUCGCAGAAUAAGCACCGGCUAACUCUGUGCCAGCAGCCGCAGUAACAC